AAUACGUAGUUAACGCGUUUUGAAUAAUGAUAGACAUUUUUUUGUGUAAAAUGUAUUAUUUCUUGUUAUAUUAGUUUAUUUAAUCAUUUAAGUGAAGUGUUUUACUUUCAAGUGCGUUCAAGGCCGUCAAUGAAGAAGUACAAAAAAGAAGAGAAAUAGAAAAAUUUGGCAGCAAUUAUGAUAGUCGUUCCUCGAAGUAUAGAGUUCGGUACGUACAGAGUCGCUGUCUUGCGCAACUGACGUGGAGUGGGGAUGGGUCCUAUGGUGGGAGUGCCAGACCCGAACAGCUGAUUUCAGUCAGUUGUAUUCGAGCCGCAGAGAAGAGCAGAGGUCGUUCAGCCUGUGUCCGUGUUUCGACAUACUUCUCGAGCAGAUACAUAUCAAGCAACAUAUUUCCAGUAUUUCCUUCGCCAUCGAAUCUGAAGGCCGAGUGAUCAUUAGGUGGCUUGAAAAAGCCAUGAUUCUUCACCGGUUCAUUUUGGAAGACGAAGACUGAGGCUGCGGUUGCUCUCGAUUGUGGAAUAGUUCUUUGCAAGGAUGGUGGUGGUGUCAGUGGACCUGGACCAGAUUCCUGCAUUCGUAUAUAAUCAACUGUACUAGGGGUUUGAAGAGGAGAUGGUCUUGGACGUGAUGCUGGCCUUGGUUGCGGUGCUGGCCUUAAUGGCUGAGAGAGCCAAAGCAGCACCAGCGGUGACGACAAUGACCAGUGCGACGCCGAGACCGGUGACCCAACCCAUCCUUCUUAAUGCCAAAUCCAGGCCCAACCACAAAUCCAAUCAGACCGCCGGAGCCUGAAACACACGGAGUAAAUCCAUGGAGAGCAUGAUCCGAUUACUGUUACAGAACCGAGAUUAUUCGAGGAUUAAGAGACCUUCUAGAGAGAUCCACCUUUAUCGAUGAAUAAAUAAAUGUAUUUAGAAGAAGAAGAAAAAACACACGCAUGCACACACAAAAAAAAACAAGGAGAAAAAGAAAAAGAAAAAAGAUGGAUAUUUUUUUGAAGUAAUGUUUCCGAGAAAUUUAUCGAAAAUUCUCUCGUUAGUAUAUGUGACGUCAAUUUUAAUUACUUUACGGUAAACUUCGAGGCCGUAACAGCAGCGGAAAGGACGAACUCGAGUGGUGAGAUAGAAGAAGGGAAGAGUGAGGAAAGGAAGGAAGGAAGGAAGGAAGGAAAGGGUUUGAGGAUGUCGAUGGAAGUUAACGAGGCGGGUGGAUAAAACGAUAAAAUCUUUCUUUAAAGUUUCACUAGUGCCGCAGUUCUUUGAAGCUUCUAAUGGCAACAUUGAAAAAGAAUUUUCUACGAUCAUAAGGGGUUGUGCAUAAUCUUUAAGUAUGAUUAGAGAUCCUUUUCGUUGAUAACCAUUUUUUCGUUUUACUUUUUAACUUUAAUACAUUGAAAUUAUGAAAGCUUACUCAUAACAUUUUAU